rnacentral:rRNA from 1 species
UACAGAGGCCUCGAGCGUUAGGCGGAAUCACUGGGCUUAAAGCGUGUGUAGGCGGACUUCUAAGUACCUUGUGAAAUCCCACGGCUCACCCGUGGAACUGCCUUCGAUACUGCGGGUCUCGAGUCCGGGAGAGGUGAGUGGAAUUCCUAGUGUAGAGGUGAAAUUCGUAGAUAUUAGGAAGAACACCAGUGGCGAAGGCGGCUCACUGGCCCGGUACUGACGCUGAGGCGCGAAAGCGUGGGGAGCAAACAGG